UACGUAGGGUGCGAGCGUUAAUCGGAAUUACUGGGCGUAAAGCGUGCGCAGGCGGUUUUGUAAGCCCGAUGUGAAAUCCCCGGGCUUAACCUGGGAAUGGCAUUUGGGACUGCAAGGCUGGAGUGUGGCAGAGGAGACUGGAAUUCCUGGUGUAGCAGUGAAAUGCGUAGAUAUCAGGAGGAACACCGAUGGCGAAGGCAGGUCUCUGGGCCACUACUGACGCUGAGAAGCGAAAGCAUGGGGAGCGAACAGG
rnacentral:rRNA from 1 species